rnacentral:misc_RNA from 1 species
GGAGCGUGAGGAAAAGGGGGGAUCCUCCGGCCAGACGGGUGUUGUGUCUGGCGGGCUAACGCCCCGACGGUUGUUGUCGGGAUCUUGUAUAUAUACUUAAUCACUUUGAAAACUCUGAUAGCGCGAUGUAGCAUACGUCAGUUUUCUCUAAUUACGUAGUUUCUAGUCGUUCGUAUUUCGCGUGAUAGAUGUCGCCACAUCACUCCCCUCCGAGACCGGAGGUCGAUAGCAGGUUGAGUCGUCCAUUCAUCUUGUGAUGCUUGCCGGGCCAGUGGAAUGUUCCAGUGAGUCGGAACCAGUUGCCGCAUAGUUCACGGUGAGUCGGAACUGUCUGCGGUGAUUCUGCAUAUGCUCCAGUGAGUCGGAGUGGUGCAGUACUGCGUAGUGGCUGGCUGCUGCGCCGACCAGGAGAGAAGUGCGUCUCUGCUUGCUGACCGGCCGAAGUGCAGUAUGCUGUGCCAAAGUUGCUGAGAAGGCUGUGGGCGAUGACCAGGAAUGCGCGUCCGCUGCAUGCUGGUGGUCAGGAUACCCGUAGUAGCCGUAGAUUCUGGCUGGCAGUAUAACUUGCUGCUCGAAAGCUUGAGGAAGUGAUGAUGACGAUGAAGGUUGCGUGUUCAAAUCACGUCGGGGUCACCAGUUUAGGAGCGUGAGGAAAAGGGGGGAUCCUCCGGCCAGACGGGUGUUGUGUCUGGCGGGCUAACGCCCCGACGGUUGUUGUCGGGAUCUUGUAUAUAUACUUAAUCACUUUGAAAACUCUGAUAGCGCGAUGUAGCAUACGUCAGUUUUCUCUAAUUACGUAGUUUCUAGUCGUUCG